rnacentral:rRNA from 1 species
CGGACGGGUGAGUAAUGUCUGGGAAACUGCCCGAUGGAGGGGGAUAACUACUGGAAACGGUAGCUAAUACCGCAUAACGUCGCAAGACCAAAGAGGGGGACCUUCGGGCCUCUUGCCAUCGGAUGUGCCCAGAUGGGAUUAGCUAGUGGUGGGGUAACGGCUCACCUAGGCGACGAUCCCUAGCUGGUCUGAGAGGAUGACCAGCCACACUGGAACUGAGACACGGCCCAG